GAUGAACGCUGGCGGCGUGCCUAAUACAUGCAAGUCGAGCGAACAGACGAGGAGCUUGCUCCUCUGACGUUAGCGGCGGACGGGUGAGUAACACGUAGAUAACCUACCUAUAAGACUGGGAUAACUUCGGGAAACCGGAGCUAAUACCGGAUAAUAUAUUGAACCGCAUGGUUCAAUAGUGAAAGACGGCUUUGCUAUCACUUAUAGAUGGACCUGCGCCGUAUUAGCUAGUUGGUAAGGUAACGGCUUACCAAGGCAACGAUGCGUAGCCGACCUGAGAGGGUGAUCGGCCACACUGGAACUGAGACACGGUCCAGACUCCUACGGGAGGCAGCAGUAGGGAAUCUUCCGCAAUGGGCGAAAGCUUGACGGAGCAACGCCGCGUGAGUGAUGAAGGUCUUCGGAUCGUAAAACUCUGUUAUUAGGGAAGAACAAAUGUGUAAGUAACUAUGCACGUCUUGACGGUACCUAAUCAGAAAGCCACGGCUAACUACGUG
rnacentral:rRNA from 1 species